UUUUAAUUUGUCUUGUGCUCUAUAAUCGCUUUGGAAGCCUCUGAUACACAAAUCUCUUCGCAGUGAAUUUUCUUUGGUGAUGUUCUUGUUACAGCUUAAACAUGUGGAAAUAUGGCUCACAUGAAUUAUGUUUCUUUUUGAAACAACAACUCAGUGGGGUCCUCCAUCCGUGUCUCCAUCUGGAAACUUCAGAUGGGACUCCACUGGAAACAAGGAUGUUUUGAUGGAUGGCUGAAACUGAAUUUUGUGAUGUGGAAGGAAAGUCAGUGUCUACGUCCUGCCUGCUGGCUACAUUUAUAAGCAAUAUGAUGCCUGAGCAUCCUGCAGAUGACAAAUCAAGCAACGAAAAAACAGCAGACAGAAUAAGGCAGAGGCGAGAUGGAACAUGAUAGAAACAAGGUAAUCCAAGGGAAAAGAAUCAUCAGAGACCUCAGGUGAAUAACAAUAGUGGUCCCAAUGCUGUGGGGUUUCAGGGGUAAGUGCUCUACCAAGACCUUGAAAAACCAGGACUUUAUUUUUAUUUACAAAAUUUCUUUUUCCUCUUGACGUUGCACUCCCCCUUCCUAUGUAGGCUUUAUGGAAUUGAUGCUUGAAAAGUGCAGAAGCAGUGGAAAGAGCAAGGAGAAUAGGCAGAAAGAAAAAGAGUAGGCUUUAUUGUCAAAGGACCUGGACACAGAGAGCAUCUCAGCUGGCUCCAUGAUAUUAACCACGAUACCCAAUAUUCCUGCACUCAUUUCUUCAUGCAUGACACGGGGGGACAGUGUCUGCUUUGCAGAUUGUUGGGAAUAUUAAAUAAGGCAAAAACCCAUGAAGUAUUUUUAGGUGCUGAAUUAUGGAAACCAUGUGCUUUCUUCAGAUGUUUGUUUCCUUAGCUUAGGGACAUAUGGCGACUAAGAGAAAGACCAAGAUUCCUAUAAAAGAAGGGAAGAGGACAGCCCAGCCCCGGUAGAAAUCAAUGUACAGUCUAUGGACAGAGAGAAUUCCUGCCGUUGUAAUAGCAUAAAAAAUAUUUAUGAGGCUGAUGGAACAAAGGGAAUUCUGUUUGUUUCUCUCUGUGUAGUUUGCUGUAUAAUGGCAACAAGAAAUAAUCAUGUGUUUCAGGAGGAGUGGGAAGAUACACUUAGAGAAAUGCGUUUGAUUUCUAAAGGCUCUUAGGCGCCGGUGAAGUCUUCCUGAUACGUACCUCACAGAUCAUCCUUCAUGCGUGCCAAGUUCUGUCUGGAUGUAGACCAGGCUCAGGAGUGAGUGAGCUCUGUUUUCAAAUACAGCUCUGUUAUUUACUGGCUUUGUGACUCAGAGCCACUUGCUUAGACUCGGUUUUCUCCCUUAAAAAAUGGUGGGGGGGGGGGGGGAGGCAUGCAGAAUUACAGUAGUUCCUACUUUACAGACUGAUAUAAGGAUUAUAUAGGAUAAUGCAUGUAAAGUGCCCAGUGCAUAGUGAGCCCCAGACAGGUACUGGCCAUUAUGAUCCCUAAUUUUGCCCAGUUGAAAUAGCAAAAGUGCUUUUUGGGCCUGGAAUUCAGUCACAGCUGGGAAUCUGGUAAUACCAGAGAAAAUUGCUCAACUUGAAUAAUAAAGAGACAGAACAACAUUCAGGUCUCUGCUGAAUGACUUUCUCCCAUCCUUUCACAUCCUUUCAACAGUGCCCAGGAUUGUGGUGUCUUCAUCAGGCCAAACUGACUCUCGUUUGCACUUAAGUUGCAUUUUGGGGGAUCAUUUGGGAGCCUGCCAAUACUUUGAGACUUCACCAAGCCAGUAGGGUCAGAGGAAUCCCUGGUUUGCACUGAUUCACAGAACAGAUAUUCCACAAAUAACAGCAUCUUGAUCAUAAUUUCAAUUUUUUUACCUCCCAUUCCCCAUCUUUUAUGGUGAUACUUCCAUUUAAAAUCAAACACCCUUAUGUUCUGUAAUGAAAAAUUUCCUAACAGAUAAAAGCCCACGACCAUAUGGCUUCAUGGGUGAAUUAUACCAAACACUUAAAGAAGAAUUAAUUCCAAUCCUUCUCAAACUCUUUCAAAAAAAUUGAAGAUGAAGGAACACUUCCAAAUUCAUUUUAUGAGGCCAGUAUUACGCUGAUAUCAAGGCAAGGACACUCUAAGAAAAUUAUGGGCCAAUAUCCCUGAUAAACAUAGAUGCAAAAAUUCUCGAUAAAAUACUAGCAAACUGAAUUCAAGAGCACAUUAAAGGGGUCGUUUGCCAUAAUCAAGUGGGAUUCAAGCUGGGAUACAAGGGUGAUUCAACAUAUGCAAAUCAAUGAAUCUGACAUACCACAUUAAUAGAAUGAAGGAUAAAUAUCAUAUCAUUUCAAGAAGUGCAGAAAAAGGACUUGACACAAUUUAACGUCUUUUCAUGAUAAAAACUUUUAACAAAUUAAGUAUAGAAGAAAUACUUCUCAACAUAAUAAAGGCCAUAUUUGACAGGCCCACAGCUAACAUCGUAAUGG